rnacentral:rRNA from 1 species
ACACAUGCGAGUCGAGGGGCAGCAUAAUGGAUAGCAAUAUCUAUGGUGGCGACCGGCGCACGGGUGCGUAACGCGUAUGCAACCUACCUUUAACAGGGGGAUAACACUGAGAAAUUGGUACUAAUACCCCAUAAUAUCAUAGAAGGCAUCUUUUAUGGUUGAAAAUUCCGAUGGUUAGAGAUGGGCAUGCGUUGUAUUAGCUAGUUGGUGGGGUAACGGCUCACCAAGGCGACGAUACAUAGGGGGACUGAGAGGUUAACCCCCCACACUGGUACUGAGACACGGACCAGACUCCUACGGGAGGCAGCAGUGAGGAAUAUUGGUCAAUGGACGCAAGUCUGAACCAGCCAUGCCGCGUGCAGGAUGACGGCUCUAUGAGUUGUAAACUGCUUUUGUACGAGGGUAAACGCAGAUACGUGUAUCUGUCUGAAAGUAUCGUACGAAUAAGGAUCGGCUAACUCCGUGCCAGCAGCCGCGGUAAUACGGAGGAUUCAAGCGUUAUCCGGAUUUAUUGGGUUUAAAGGGUGCGUAGGCGGUUUGAUAAGUUAGAGGUGAAAUUUCGGGGCUCAACCCUGAACGUGCCUCUAAUACUGUUGAGCUAGAGAGUAGUUGCGGUAGGCGGAAUGUAUGGUGUAGCGGUGAAAUGCUUAGAGAUCAUACAGAACACCGAUUGCGAAGGCAGCUUACCAAACUAUAUCUGACGUUGAGGCACGAAAGCGUGGGGAGCAAACAGGAUUAGAUACCCUGGUAGUCCACGCAGUAAACGAUGAUAACUCGUUGUCGGCGAUACACAGUCGGUGACUAAGCGAAAGCGAUAAGUUAUCCACCUGGGGAGUACGUUCGCAAGAA